rnacentral:rRNA from 1 species
AUUGAACGCUGGCGGCAGGCCUAACACAUGCAAGUCGAACGAGUGGGGGAGGGGGGAGUAAUAUCUGGGAAACUGCCUGAGGGAGGGGGAUAACUACUGGAAACGGUAGAUAAUACCGCAUACCAUCAGGGGUGCCCAGAUGGGAUUAGCUAGGAGGUGGGGUAACGGCUCACCUAGUCGACGAUCCCUAGCUGGUCUGAGAGGAGGACCAGCCACACUGGAACUGAGACACGGUCCAGACUCCUACGGGAGGCAGCAGUGGGGUAUAUUGCACAAUGGGCGCAAGCCUGAUGCAGCCAUGCCGCGUGUAUGAAGAAGGCCUUCGGGUUGUAAAGUACUUUCAGCGGGGAGGCGUUACCCGCAGAAGAAGCACCGGCUAACUACGUGCCAGCCGCCGCGGUAAUAC